GCUCCAGAAAGAACAGGUGUUUCCCACUGGGAUGUCCCUUCUGACUUUUCAGAACGUGGCACUCAAACUGGGUUUAUCUCAUCCCCUCCCAAGUGCUCUACUCAGGUGCAGACUCGGUGGCUAAUUCCUACCCCGCACACUGGGAAUUCGACAUCAAAGCAGAUACAGACACAGGAGCACAUAGAAGCAAAGGAGAGAAGGAACUUCAGGGUUCCCUGUGGCGCCUCAGUCCCUGCUUCAAGCUCCUUGGCCCUGGGCUCCGAGACACCUCCCUCCAACCUCAGAACAAGUCCUCCUUGUCACUUAUGGAAGAAAGGAGGCCAACUCCACAAGAUCCCACCCUGGCAGGUGUGUGAGCAAGAAGAGGAGCCAGGAAACACUGAUGCUGAUAGAAGGGACAGAACCACACCCAGCCAGAGAUCACUGUCACAGUGCUAAGUCCAUCAGCCAUGUGAGGAACAGAAUGGAGAAAACCCACUUCGAUGACAGGAGCCUUCCAGACGGGUCUCUUCCCCACCAGUCUUACCUUCUGCUGACUGUAGACACAGCUUCUGCGAAACACCCAGCACAGGUGAGAGCUCAGUGAAUAUUUUUUUAGGGAAUUAAUAGCAACAUCACUUCUGACAGCAAACAAAAAAGAAUGAAUUUAAAUGUCCUACAAUAGACUGUUGGUACUGAUACACUGAUGAUGUCUCUAAUUAGGCAAGUUAUUUAGGGCUACCAUGCCUGAAUCUUUCUCUUCGCUAAAAUGGAGAGAGUAACGGAACUUGUCUCCUAUUAUGAAGAUUUAAAUGACCUUAGGUAUGUAACUUCAUAGCAUAAGUGAGUACAAAAUAAAUGUUAUCUGUUACUGUGGUUCCAUGGAAUACUGUGCACCUGUUAAAACUGUGUUGAGGAAGUAUGUUUUAUACAUGGAAAAAUUCAUGAUAAUUUGAAAAAUAAUGAAAGUACAAAGAGUAUAACUCCAAACUUUAUAAAAGAAAUGUAUAGAGAAUAAGCCUAAAUAAAUAUACAAAAUAAUAAUAAGUUAUUUUCUAGGCAGUGAAACCAAGGGAGACUUUCCUCCUGCUGCUUCUCCUUUAUAUGCAUAUUAUCAUUUAUCUGUCUAUAUUUUUUAACAAAGAGCAUAAAUUAUAUAAUUGAAAAAGUUAAUAAAAAUUCCACUUGAACCCAAAAAAGGCAUUCUAUACAAUAAUUCCUAUUUAUGGAAUAUUACUCCAAGAAAAUAAUGGCAAAUAACAAAGAAAAUAAUAUCUGUAAGAGUUGAGUAUAUUUAUAUACAGUGAUUUUAAAAGAUAUUCAUGAUGUUCAAAACAUGAAAUCAAAAAAGUUCAAACACAUUAGAAUAAUGCUUUAAAUAUUAGAAUAUACUUAUCAGUAAUAAAUAAUUUACCUAGGAUAAAAUAGCUGACUUGUGAUCUCAAAUACAUAGCAAAAGAGAAUAUCAUAAGCAGACUAGACUAUAAAGAACUGAUGAAAAACCUUAACAGGGAAACCUAAAGAGCCAUUAACAGAAGACAUGUUUGACUUUCUGCCAUUUGUUAAUUACAGUUAAGGCCAUUUGCCACCUUUGACCAGAACAGGGUGGAUUCUUUUUCAGUGAUGCAAAAAUUAACCUAGAAACCUCUGGAU
rnacentral:lncRNA from 1 species